CAGAGUCGCAAUACUCCGUAAACCAUUGUGAACGUUACCUUAACCGUUGCUUCGGCGGGCGGCGCCCGGGCCUCACCGCCCGCGGCGCCCCCCGGCCCCCCGUGGGCGCCCGCCGGAGGUACACCAAACUCUUGCAUUAUAUGGCCUCUCUGAGUAUUCUGUACUGAAUAAGUCAA
rnacentral:misc_RNA from 1 species